rnacentral:rRNA from 1 species
UACGAAGGGGGCUAGCGUUGCUCGGAAUUACUGGGCGUAAAGGGCGCGUAGGCGGACAUUUAAGUCGGGGGUGAAAGCCCAGGGCUCAACCCUGGAAUAGCCUUCGAUACUGGAUGUCUUGAGUUCGGGAGAGGUGAGUGGAACUCCGAGUGUAGAGGUGAAAUUCGUAGAUAUUCGGAAGAACACCAGUGGCGAAGGCGACUCGCUGGACAAGUAUUGAC